AUGGCGACGGAAGGGAGGAAAGUGUGGGGAGAAACAGCAUAUGACGAUAAUGAGCAAGAAAUGGAUUAUCAGGAAGUAAGAUACAAUAAAAGGAAGAAAAAGAGCAGCAUGGGUGAUGGAUCUGAUUGUGAACAAACAAUUAAUAAAGUAAAACAAAUGAGCAGUGGAGAUGAUAAAGAGGAGGAAAGAGAAAUCAAGGUCCUAAUUACUUUUGCUAAGCAGUCAGAACAACAAACUCAUCCGGUUAAAUUAUCGAAAGCAAUUGAGAAAGAGAUAGGAGUAGUGAAAGCUGUAGCUUGUCUAAACAAUGGAAGAAUAAUGAUUAAAUGUAAGGAUGAAAAGCAAAAACAAAAAAUUCUGAAAAUGAAAACGUUGGCAGGAGGAAAGAUAUCAUGCACAGAAAUAGGUAAUGGAAUCAGAGGGGUUAUUUCAGGAGUACCUCUUAAUGUGAGUGUGGAUGAUAUUAAAGGAAAUCUAAGUGGAGGCACAGUUAUCUCUGUUAGAAGACUGCAGAUGUGGAAAGACAACAAAAGAUGUGAGAGUAUGAGUGUGAUGAUUCAGUUUGAAGGGAGUAACUUGCCCACAAGAGUGAAGAUAGGAUUUGUUAGCUUCUUGGUACGAGAGUUCAUACCUCCACCUCUGAGAUGCUUUAAGUGUCAACGGAUGGGACAUACUGCAAAUGUCUGUAAGGGGAAAAUGCGGUGUGCAAAAUGUGGGGGGGAACAUGAAUAUGGCAAGUGUGAGGAGGGUGUAGUGAUUAAAUGCUGUAACUGUGGAGGUGGACAUAGCGCAGCAUACGCAGGAUGUCCUGUACAACAAGAAGCCCGUGAAGCACAAACAAUAAAAACUGUGCAAAAUGUAACAUAUGCAGAAGCUAUGCGCAAGAUAAAAGACAAAGGUAAAGCUGAACCGAAGGUAAAUAAUGUGCGAGGAAAUAGGUUGGAAUCCUAUUCUCAGAGAGAAUUAAAUCAUGAGAGGAAUGAGCCAGAUCUGCAUAUCGCAGUAAACAAAAUUGACUUUGUGGCAUUCAUUUGUGCGGUGGUGAAUGGUACCUCACAAGUGGAAAAGAAAUCUGACAAAUUAAGGAUUAUUGUAGGAUGUGCUAAUAAAUUUCUCAAGUUAACAGGAAUCUCAGCUGAGGAGGUGCAUGGGAUUUUGAAAGCGGAAGAAGGAAUUACUGCCAUGGAUAUGACUCAG
ensembl:lncRNA